ACCCAGCCCCUCCCAACAGCUAGCCUACCCCCUAAAUCCAACAAACAAACAUAAAUUAACCCCUAAUACCCAAAAACAACACAACAAACCAUUUUACCCCCUUAGUAUAGGCGAUAGAAAAGGACCAAAGUGCAAUAGAAAAAGUACCGCAAGGGAAAGCUGAAAGAGAAAUGAAACAACCCAGUAAAGAGGAAAAAAGCAGAGACCUCCCCUUGUACCUUUUGCAUCAUGAAUUAGCCAGAAACAUUCAAGCAAAGAGCACUUCAGUUUGAACCCCCGAAACUGGACGAGCUACUCCAAGACUGCCUAUUAGGGCUAACCCGUCUCUGUGGCAAAAGAGUGGGAUGAGCUUUGAGUAGAGGUGACAGACCUAACGAGCCCAGUUAUAGCUGGUUGCCUACAAAAUGAACAGAAGUUCAGCCUUUUGGCUUCUUGACUCAAUCCUGGUAAACACCCCAAACUGAUGCUAAGAACCCCAAAGAGUUAUUCAAGAGGGGUACACCCCUCUUGAAGAAAGACACAACUUUAUUAAGUAGGCUAAAGAUCAAAAUUAUUAAAGGCAACAUACCUUGGUAGGCCUAAAAGCAGCCACCCACACAGAAAGCGUUAAAGCUCAAGUACCAUGCCCCUCCCCCAAUUCUGACAAAUACAUCUUAAGCCCCUUCACAUUUAUAGUAGGCCUACUUAUGCAAACAUAAGAGAGAUGCUGCUAACAUGAGUAAUAAGGGGCCCAGUGACCCCCUCCAAAGCACCUGUGUACAUCAGAACGAACACACACUGAAAAUUAACGCCCCCAACCACAGAGGGAAAUGAAAAAGCCAGAUUAACCCAGAAAACUUCUCAAGCCCCAAGCGUUAACCCCACACAGGUGUGCCCAAGGAAAGACUAAAAGAAAAAGAAGGAACUCGGCAAACACUGGCCUCGCCUGUUUACCAAAAACAUCGCCUCUUGCAUCCAAACAUAUAAGAGGUCCUGCCUGCCCUGUGACUUGGAAGUUUAACGGCCGCGGUAUUUUGACCGUGCAAAGGUAGCGUAAUCACUUGUCUUUUAAAUGGAGACCAGUAUGAAUGGCAUAACGAGGGCCAAGCUGUCUCCUUUUUCUAGUCAAUGAAAUUGAUCCUCCUGUGCAGAAGCAGGAAUACCCCCAUAAGACGAGAAGACCCUAUGGAGCUUUAGACACAAGACAACCCAUGUUAAAAAACUAAAUUAAUAGAAAUAACAAAAUGACAUUUGUCCUUUUGUCUUUGGUUGGGGCGACCAUGGAGUAACAAGAAACCCCCAUGUGGAACAGGGCCUACCCCCUUAAAACCAGAGCCACAGCUCUCACCAACAGAACAUCUGACCAACAAGAUCCGGCAAAGCCGAUCAACGGACCUAGUUACCCUAGGGAUAACAGCGCAAUCCCCUUUUAGAGCCCAUAUCGACAAGGGGGUUUACGACCUCGAUGUUGGAUCAGGACAUCCUAAUGGUGCAGCUGCUAUUAAGGGUUCGUUUGUUCAACGAUUAAAGUCCUACGUGAUCUGAGUUCAGACCGGAGAAAUCCAGGUCAGUUUCUAUCUAUGAAGUGCCCUUUUCUAGUACGAAAGGACCGAAAAGAGAAGGCCCCUACUCUAAGUAAGCCUUAUCCUUACCUAAUGAAAUCAACUAAAUUAGGUAAAGGGACACACCCACCCCUUCCUAAGAAAAAGGCAG
rnacentral:rRNA from 1 species